GGGGUCAGGGGUCUAGACUGUAGACUGGUGGGGUCAGGGGUCUAGACUGUAGACUGGUGGGGUCAGGUAGGCGUCAGGGGUCUAGACUGUAGACUGGUGGGGUCAGGUUAGGGGUCAGGGGUCUAGACUGUAGACUGUAGACUGAUUGAGGUGGGGGUCAGAGUCUAUAUAGUGGAUUGAGAUGGGGGUCAGGGUCUAGAUAAUGGAUUGAGGUGGGGGUCAGGUAGGGGUCAGGGUCUAGAUAGUGGAUUGAGGUGGGGGGUCAGGGUCUAGAUAGUGGAUUGAGGUGGGGGUCAGGUAGGGGUCAGGGUCUAGAUCAGGGCUCUCCAACAGGUCGAUCACCAGCUACCAGUAGCUACCAGCCCACCUAUUAGUAGCUCGCCAAAAUAUUCUGAAAGUACAUUCAAUUUCACAGAUCAGAGACACCGCAAGCUCCCAGCUACUAUCUAAUCAAGGCAACAUCGACAUUAUGCCACCCCUGGUUAGCCACUAUUGGAUUAAAAAGCCAAACCUAACACAAUAUCUGCCAAUUCAUUUUCAGCAAUAUGGCGUCCAUCCGUCCGGUGUUUGUCUGUCAUUCAGUGUAACGCCAGUUGAUGUGAUAACUGCCUUGUAGAUUGACAGAAAUACUUUCCCCCAAAACCAUAUAAAAUGUUAACAGUAAAGUAGGCUUACCUAGAAGAAGUACAUCAUUUGUAUCUACCGUUUGUUUUUUGGUAAACUAUGCCAUGAAAUCAGCAGCAGCAGUACUGAACCACCACAGACCGGCACAUUAAAACGGCACAUUCCUUCCUGCACAAUUAAAAGGGAAUUGCACUCCAAAAAUCUAAACGUGUUCGUUUUCUUCCAAACCUAAAAAUAGUUUCUUCUGAUGUGAUUUAAACAUUGACAUGGACUCAGAACAUGCCGUUUUGAGAGUAAAAACGAAA